CCUACGGGUGGCAGCAGUGAGGAAUAUUGGUCAAUGGACGAGAGUCUGAACCAGCCAAGUAGCGUGAAGGAUGACUGCCCUAUGGGUUGUAAACUUCUUUUAUAUGGGAAUAAAAUGUUCCACGUGUGGGUUUUUGUAUGUACCAUAUGAAUAAGGAUCGGCUAACUCCGUGCCAGCAGCCGCGGUAAUACGGAGGAUCCGAGCGUUAUCCGGAUUUAUUGGGUUUAAAGGGAGCGUAGGUGGAUUGUUAAGCCGGUUGUGAAAGUUUGCGGCUCAACCGUAAAAUUGCAGUUGAAACUGGCAGUCUUGAGUACAGUAGAGGUAGGCGGAAUUCGUGGUGUAGCGGUGAAAUGCUUAGAUAUCACGAAGAACUCCGAUUGCGAAGGCAGCUCACUGGACUGCAACUGACACUGAGGCUCGAAAGUGUGGGUAUCAAACAGGAUUAGAUACCCCUGUAGUC
rnacentral:rRNA from 1 species